rnacentral:tRNA from 1 species
AGCUUUAUAUUCAAUAUAUGAUAUUAAAUUGCAAAUUUAAAGGAAUAGAUUAAUUUUUAUUAAGGCUU